GCGGAGCUUCCACAGAUUCAAUAACAUUAGCAAGUGGUGGAAGCCAGCAGGUGGAUGAAGGAAAAGGGAGGCAAGAGGAGAGACCCGAAACGGCCGCCGGUCCGCGUGUCAGGUGAACUGAACUUCAGAAACCACACACACACACGCAAUACAAAGACUGAGAACUUUAUUCCUGGACUCUGCCUGUUUGUUCUUCCCACAUCUGAACAUUUGCAAGUGUUCUGACCCGACACUCUGAAGUGAUUGCUGCCAGCUCAGAUUUCUUUAACCCUUCUAAACAUUUGGUCCUUCGAGCCGGAUGUUGAGCAACUGCUUCAGCCUUAUAUGUUCAGGAUGGAAGACCGAUAUCCAUACAGAGAGUCUGACCGCCCACGCAGACAUAGCAAGCUGCCAUCAUACCUCCAGAAUUAUGAAGUGGACGACUUCGCUAAGAACCGACUCUCUUAUGAUGAUCAGGGCAAGCAUUCUACUCAUCCUGAAAUUCUCCAAUAUAUUCAUCAUAUGAAAGAGGAACACAAUCAGCUCCGACUAGAUGUGCAACGCCUGACAGAACUGAUCUCUAGCUCUCCUGUACUAGCUCCACAGCAUGCCACGACACGGUCUGGACAUUGUGAGGAUGUGACAUCAACCACACCUGCCCACACUAGUAAGCUGGUGCCAAUCAGAGGGCAGAAGAGCCCACAUCAGCCUGAAAGUGCUCCACAGGUGCCAUUUGGGGAUGAGUCUCAACAUCCAAAGGACAGCCAGCAGGGCCUGAUCGAGGAGCUCACGCACAGUCUAAAUGAAGCAGAUCUUGACAGGGAGUGCAGCGCACAGUCACCAUCACCUUCGGUUGACUCAUGCCCUGAAUCUCAAGAUUUUCUUCCACCAAUGACACCAGGUGAGAGGCCCCCUUCACUUCAAGCUUCGGCAGCAAGGGGACGGUCACCGUAUUAUGCAGGACAAAGAAGGGUUGAUGAGGUGUAUGCUCGUCGCCACAGGAACUACAGUCAGCCUGCCACUUCUCCUAGAUUGCCAAGGCUAGGGGCCGGCUAUGAAGAUGACCCAUACUACAGACAAGAUGACAGGUAUCCUACCCCUGGUCACCCAAGCUGCCCUGACAGUCACUAUCGUUCUCCUUAUGGAUAUGGGUAUCAGGAUUCGAGUCAUCCGUACAGGCGCUGUGGUAACUACCCAGAUGACCGCCGACAGUGUCCACCCGAUCGUCUGCAACCAGGUGGGUGCCCUCAGACACCACUCUCUCUCAGCAGAGCCCAACCAAUAGAGACUUAUCGUGGACCUCAACCAACGAUCCCUGACUUUGUGCACGAGGACCCACGUGAGUUUGCAAGAUUAAAGUUAGCUCUAGAUAACAUACUUCCACUUGAUGCUCCUGAACACUUCAAGUUCCAGAUCUUGACAGAUCACCUUAAGUGUGAAGAUGCACUACUUGUAGCUGACUCAUACAGUAACAGUCCAUUCCCAUUUGCUGACACCAUGAGAGCACUUACAGAAAUGUAUGGGCAACCUCAACAUCUGGCCUUAAAAAGGAUUACCAAACUGAUGGAUGGACCCAACAUUAGGAGUGGUGACAUCAGAGCCUUCAAGUCUUUUGCCCUCCAAGUCCGUGCGCUAGUGGGGAUGCUACACCAGUUGGGAGAACAAGGUCGGACAGAGUUGAGGUGUGGCUCACAUGUAUCUCGCCUCUUAGCUAAGUUACCUUAUGACCUAAGAGCAAAUUUCCAGAGAUUUGUUAAUCCC
ensembl:lncRNA